GACGGCUAUAUUACAUUGAAGCACCGGUUCCCGUAUGAUCACCGAAGUUAAACAACUUCGAGCCUGGUCAAUACUUAGAUGGGUGACCGCUUUAGAAUACCAGGUGCUGCAA